ACGGGACACGAACCCGCACCUAAGGACUCAAAAUCCUAUGUACUGCCAUUAUACUACCUUCUAGUAAAGUCAGC
rnacentral:tRNA from 1 species